rnacentral:rRNA from 1 species
UACGGAGGGUGCGAGCGUUAAUCGGAAUUACUGGGCGUAAAGCGCACGCAGGCGGUUUGUUAAGCUAGAUGUGAAAGCCCCCGCGCUCAACGUGGGAUGGUCAUUUAGAACUGGCAGACUAGAGUCUUGGAGAGGGGAGUGGAAUUUCUGGUGUAGCGGUGAAAUGCGUAGAUAUCAGAAGGAACAUCAGUGGCGAAGGC